AUAAUGCUGGUGCUUACGAAAUAUACAACAAUCUAUGGACCUCUGAGGAGCUCAGAUACUAUCAACUUCCCGCACAAACACGGUGACAUUUUUGCAUUAAAUAUCUGACGCUAUCAAAGUGGGACACUCGGGGCUGUUUGUGACACAUGACACACACCAGCAGUGUCCAGGGUCACAACAGAGAGGUUACGCCAAGUUCAGAAAUCAGACACCAAACCGACCCGGCUUCUCUGACACCACGCGGGGUGCAGUUCAGCCUUGGCAGAUAUUGCCACCUGUCUUAGUUUGCCGAGAAGUCUUGGCUCUGGAACAUCAUAAAAAUGCCUCCCCGAUAGACUCACCAGAAUGCCAAAUUGUUUCUGAAAGAUGGAAAAUUAAACAGCAAAGGAGAAAGCAACAGUAAAACUGCAGCUUCCACGUCCAGCUGGCAUCAAGAAUAGGAAGAGGGACAACUUUCAGUAGCCUUCGCUUAUAGCCCAAACUUCAAAAAUGAGUUUUAACCACCCCCAGGGCUACAGGAAACAGUUUGCCACCUUUUACCCUUCUCCAAGUGAUUACUCCAGCAGCUGCAGCAGUCAACUCCCAGGGAGCACAACAGUAACCAAAUUCCAGCCUUGUAAGCCCCGUUCCGAGCUCCACAAG